rnacentral:rRNA from 1 species
CCCGCCGCGCGCGGCGGGCGGGGCGGGGGCACGGGGGGACUCUACGGGAGGCAGCAGUGGGGAAUAUUGGGCAAUGGGGGCAACCCUGACCCAGCGACGCCGCGUGAGGGAAGACGGCCUUCGGGUUGUAAACCUCUUUUGUACGGGAAGAAGGAAGUGACGGUACUGUACGAAUAAGUCCCGGCUAACUACGUGCCAGCAGCCGCGGUAAU